UCUUGUGGUCAAAUGUGAAAAAAGAAGACAAAUUUGUGCACUUUAGCUAGCUAACUGUUAAGAAAAUGUUGCUUCCUAGCAGCACCAUGAAAAAAAUAUUUUCAUGCUUUCAUACUUAUUUGUUCUGGUUCAUAUUUCCUCAUCUCUCCACUCAUGGCAGCAAAAGAGUCUAAGUGACUUCUGGUGCCUAAAGAGUCUGGUCUAUAAACUGUAGGUGAUGUAUGGAAUGAUGUGGUCAUGGUAGGUGAGGACACAUCUGUCACUGUCCUGCUUUGAUUCACCACCCACAUCUUCUGUACUGGUUACCUGGAAGAUGACGGCAGCCAGGGAGGAUCGCUGGUCCUAUUUGUUAUCAGCCAACUGCAUCGAUGGACAAACAGAUGGACGCAGCAGCAGAGUGUUCGGAGGCAGAAAGUUUGGGAUCUCCGCAGAUGCCUCUCUGACCUUCAGGGCGGCAGCAGCUGUGCAAGGACGCUACUCCUGUGUGAUAGAGCAGAGGAUUGUUCUUCUCGGCCUGAUUAAAUGUAUGUGUCUGAUUUCUCUAGGUAUUCUUCUCUCCUUCUCUUUUGCAGUAUCUGUCACUCCCACGCCCCCCGUCACAGUGGACAGUACUGUGAGACUGGCAGCUCAGGUGUCUGGGGAACGUGGGUGUCUCCCUCGGGUGAACAGCUACACACUGAAAUCUCCCAUGGCACGGGAAGUCUGCUCAGCAAGCUGCCUCGCGUCAGCAGUAAAGACAACGGUGUCUGUACCUGCAGAAUCUGUGUCCAUGGUAACAUAGUCUGUCUCAGAACACUGUGUGAAUGUGACAGUGAAUUGUGAGAUUUGGAGAUAUAUUUUUAAAACAUGCCAGUCAUUUAGUCAAUGUUAUCUUUGAAAGAUUUAAAGGGAUUUAAUGUAGCAGAUUUUUUUCUUCUUCUAGCAAAAAACAAAUUUUAUACUUUUUUAGAAGCUCUAUAUACACUAUAUUUAAAUAAACUAAUUGUGUCAGUUUUGGAUUCACAAAAAAUUGACUUUAUACAGUUAGUUCUGUUCUUCGAUUUAUUUUUUCUUUUAUGUGUGCUGAUAUUGGUCCAAAUUGACUAAUUUUGUUCAUUUUUCCUCUCCGUACAGUGGACUCAAAUGUCAUUCACUGUAUUGGGAACAGUAAAUGAGUACAAUUUCUGUUAAGUCUUGUGACUUUCUCUUUUUUUGUAAGUAUUUGCACAUUCUUGUUUGUGCAUUUGUGGAUUUUCAGCAACUCUUUCUGUAGGUUACAUUGGUAUUUUAGUAGAUGAUGAGAAUGUUUUGUGUAAGUCAUUUGGAUCAUUCACUCAACCAGUUUGUUCAAAUAAUUGAUUCAUAGAAUGAAACAAAGACAGGCUGCAUCCAAAUAUGCAUACUUAUCUUCUAGGGUGGCAAUAUGACUAAAUAUGGCCACUUCUCUUGCAGUCAUAUAGUAAAAUGAUUGCUUUUCAGUGGCUUCAUAUCACUUGAUUUUAAACCACAAAGCGUUAAAACAUGCAAAUGAUAAGUUUUUAUUGUAUUGUAACUGUGAUAAAGACAAUAGUCCAACAUCUCAACCACUUAAUUGUAUCUAUAUAGUAGACAAAAAAAUCUGUACAUGAAAAGAAUGGUACAGUAAAAUUCACAGUAUUCAUAAAACAGUAAUGAAAAAAAUUUGGAUGACUUACUAUUUACAGUGAGAUUUUGAAGUGUGAAUCCAGUUGACACUUUACUAUCCCAUAAUGCAACAAGAGAGGAUUUAUUAAUAGCAGUGAAGAAAUGCAACUGAGACUGGCAGCUCACAUGACAAUGACAUCAGGAUGAAUUUACUGUAGUACUGUACAUCUGGAUUUCAUUUAUACUACACAGAUUCAAACUAUAUAGAACAUUUUUUUUUUACUUUCACAAAGUAAUUACUGCGAUUUCACAUGCAGCUGUUUUCUUUAUUAGUCACUGAAUCAUUUAUUAACCAGUUCAUUCCAAAACACUGAUUCAUUUAAAAUAGACCACUAUUAGGUGUUGCUCACAUAAACAGCGGUUGGUUCUGUUUUGACUUUGUUUUCGCUGAUGAGAAACAAAAUGAAGUGUCUUUUUACACUAAGUGCAAAAAGCCUGCCUUGUUGGCAGAGGCUAUUUACACUAACUCUGCCCAGCAACAUGUGUUUGGGGUAGUCAACACUAUAUACAACGCUUUAAAAAUAUCACCUUCAGUGGCAUGGAUAGUUAAGCACAUGCAUUUCGACACAAUUGACCUGAGUUUGAGUACGUCAAACUUUUUUUCUCCCUAUUCCAAUCUCAUAUCAAAACCAGAAAGGCAUUUAUUUUCAAUAAAAAUUAAGGAAAUAAUCGAAAACCUGAA